AGGAGAGAGAGAGAGGUAGUCUAUGUAGAUCAGACAACAGGAGAGAGAGAGAGGUAGUCUGUAUGUAGAUCAGACAACAGGAGAGAGAGAGAGGUAGUCUGUAUGUAGAUCAGACAACAGGAGAGAGAGAGGUAGUCUGUAUGUAGAUCAGACAACAGGAGAGAGAGAGAGGUAGUCUGUAUGUAGAUCAGACAACAGGAGAGAGAGAGAGGUAGUCUGUAUGUAGAUCAGACAACAGGAGAGAGAGAGAGGUAGUCUGUAUGUAGAUCAGACAACAGGAGAGAGAGAGAGAGGUAGUCUGUAUGUAGAUCAGACAACAGGAGAGAGAGAGAGGUAGUCUGUAUGUAGAUCAGACAACAGGAGAGAGAGGUAGUCUGUAUGUAGAUCAGACAACAGGAGAGAGAGAGAGGUAGUCUGUAUGUAGAUCAGACAACAGGAGAGAGAGAGGUAGUCUGUAUGUAGAUCAGACAACAGGAGAGAGAGAGAGGUAGUCUAUGUAGAUCAGA